AUUGAACGCUGGCGGCAUGCCUUACACAUGCAAGUCGAACGGCAGCGGACCUUCGGGUGCCGGCGAGUGGCGAACGGGUGAGUAAUGUAUCGGAACGUACCUUUCAGUGGGGGAUAACGUAGCGAAAGUUACGCUAAUACCGCAUAUUCUGUGAGCAGGAAAGCAGGGGAUCGCAAGACCUUGCGCUGAUUGAGCGGCCGAUAUCAGAUUAGCUAGUUGGUGAGGUAAAGGCUCACCAAGGCGACGAUCUGUAGCGGGUCUGAGAGGAUGAUCCGCCACACUGAAACUGGGACACGGUCCAGACUCCUACGGGAGGCAGCAGUGGGGAAUUUUGGACAAUGGGGGCAACCCUGAUCCAGCCAUGCCGCGUGAGUGAAGAAGGCCUUCGGGUUGUAAAGCUCUUUCGUCCGGGAAGAAAUCGCAUCAGCUAAUACCUGGUGUGGAUGACGGUACCGGAAUAAGAAGCACCGGCUAACUACGUGCCAGCCGCCACCGUAACAC
rnacentral:rRNA from 1 species